rnacentral:rRNA from 1 species
UUAAAUUGAAGAGUUUGAUCAUGGCUCAGAUUGAACGCUGGCGGCAGGCCUAACACAUGCAAGUCGAACGGUAACAGGAAGCAGCUUGCUGCUUCGCUGACGAGUGGCGGACGGGUGAGUAAUGUCUGGGAAACUGCCUGAUGGAGGGGGAUAACUACUGGAAACGGUGGCUAAUACCGCAUAACGUCGCAAGACCAAAGAGGGGGACCUUCGGGCCUCUUGCCAUCAGAUGUGCCCAGAUGGGAUUAGCUUGUUGGUGAGGUAACGGCUCACCAAGGCGACGAUCCCUAGCUGGUCUGAGAGGAUGACCAGCCACACUGGAACUGAGACACGGUCCAGACUCCUACGGGAGGCAGCAGUGGGGAAUAUUGCACAAUGGGCGCAAGCCUGAUGCAGCCAUGCCGCGUGUAUGAAGAAGGCCUUCGGGUUGUAAAGUACUUUCAGCGGGGAGGAAGGUGUUGUGGUUAAUAACCGCAGCAAUUGACGUUACCCGCAGAAGAAGCACCGGCUAACUCCGUGCCAGCAGCCGCGGUAAUACGGAGGGUGCAAGCGUUAAUCGGAAUUACUGGGCGUAAAGCGCACGCAGGCGGUCUGUCAAGUCGGAUGUGAAAUCCCCGGGCUCAACCUGGGAACUGCAUUCGAAACUGGCAGGCUUGAGUCUUGUAGAGGGGGGUAGAAUUCCAGGUGUAGCGGUGAAAUGCGUAGAGAUCUGGAGGAAUACCGGUGGCGAAGGCGGCCCCCUGGACAAAGACUGACGCUCAGGUGCGAAAGCGUGGGGAGCAAACAGGAUUAGAUACCCUGGUAGUCCACGCCGUAAACGAUGUCUACUUGGAGGUUGUGCCCUUGAGGCGUGGCUUCCGGAGCUAACGCGUUAAGUAGACCGCCUGGGGAGUACGGCCGCAAGGUUAAAACUCAAAUGAAUUGACGGGGGCCCGCACAAGCGGUGGAGCAUGUGGUUUAAUUCGAUGCAACGCGAAGAACCUUACCUGGUCUUGACAUCCACAGAACUUUCCAGAGAUGGAUUGGUGCCUUCGGGAACUGUGAGACAGGUGCUGCAUGGCUGUCGUCAGCUCGUGUUGUGAAAUGUUGGGUUAAGUCCCGCAACGAGCGCAACCCUUAUCCUUUGUUGCCAGCGAUUAGGUCGGGAACUCAAAGGAGACUGCCAGUGAUAAACUGGAGGAAGGUGGGGAUGACGUCAAGUCAUCAUGGCCCUUACGACCAGGGCUACACACGUGCUACAAUGGCGCAUACAAAGAGAAGCGACCUCGCGAGAGCAAGCGGACCUCAUAAAGUGCGUCGUAGUCCGGAUUGGAGUCUGCAACUCGACUCCAUGAAGUCGGAAUCGCUAGUAAUCGUGGAUCAGAAUGCCACGGUGAAUACGUUCCCGGGCCUUGUACACACCGCCCGUCACACCAUGGGAGUGGGUUGCAAAAGAAGUAGGUAGCUUAACCUUCGGGAGGGCGCUUACCACUUUGUGAUUCAUGACUGGGGUGAAGUCGUAACAAGGUAACCGUAGGGGAACCUGCGGUUGGAUCACCUCCUUACCUUAAAGAAG